UACGUAGGGGGCUAGCGUUGUCCGGAUUCAUUGGGCGUAAAGCGCUUGUAGGCGGUCCGGUAAGUCCGCUGUGAAAGUCGGGGGCUCAACCCUCGAAUGCCGGUGGAUACUGUCGGGCUAGAGUGCGGAAGAGGCGAGUGGAAUUCCUGGUGUAGCGGUGAAAUGCGCAGAUAUCAGGAGGAACACCAAUUGCGUAGGCAGCUCGCUGGGACGUUACUGACGCUGAGACGCGAAAGCGUGGGGAGCAAACAGG
rnacentral:rRNA from 1 species